CGUCCUUGGAUAUUCUUUGUAGAAGAUCAACUAAAUCACACAGGAGAAAUAGAGCCAAAAAAAUCGGGAAAGACUUGACAUAUGUAUGAUUUUCGACUUAUGCAAAUCAGAUACAAAAUGUGAAAAUGAUCAAGGACGAUGCCAAACCUUGCCUCUUUCCCCCGGAUAUGCACACUGGCUGCCUAUAUAUCUGAGAAAGGAGGCAGAGUGGGAGAUGUACCCAACCAUGCACACCUGGCAUAAGCGGGGACACACAACUAAGGUAUAAACUUUCAGUAUGCAACAAUCUGGCCACAAGAAUGAAAUCGAAUAAGCAUUUUCAAGAUCUGCUAAAGAAGCAGCUCCAACAACAACAUUUCCAAAUCCUGAGCUGCGGGUAGAAGAAUGACUUUCAUCAGAAAUGACAGGAGCCAGCUGCUCCAGGAAAGAUGUGAGCAGGGUGAUGAGUGGACGUUAAAGAGGGCACCACACACUGAAGGGCUUCCCAAGGCUGUAAACACAAACAGAGAAGGGGACCCAUCUUCAUUCAAAGGCAACUAAAAGUUAGUUGUGACACAUGCUAAACUUCUGAACACAGCCAAAUUCUUUUCCUCACUUCAUCUCCUCUAGGCUCUUAUCACCGCAAGCCGGAGAAACUCUUUGAAGUCUUUUAUUUUCGUUGCAAACCUACUUUCACAGUCAAACAUUUUUCAUCAAGCUAUUGGAGGGGAGAAAAAAAAAAAAAGCUUGCUUUUUUUUUUUUUACUCAUUAAGAAAGAACAAAUAGUUGUGAACUUAAAAAUUCUCCUCAUUUUUUUUAAAAUCUGGCUUUUUCAUAAAUAUUUGUUGCAAUUGCACAAUGUUUAUGUUCAAGAGAGUCACUUAGGAAAGAACAGCACAUUCUUUGGUGUUCCAGAACAUGACACCAGGUAAAAGAAGAUCUUUGAAGAAAAAAAAAAAAGUGAAAAAAAAUGUUUUAAAGAAAAAUGUCCAAGUAUUUUCUUUGUUUGCUACAUCUUAAAAGGAUCAAAUAAUCAAUAACAGAAUAACAAAUAGAGGAGUCUUUUGGUUUUUGUGUUUUUUUAAUGUGAGGCCCCAGUGCCAAAAUGUUAACAUUCUGAUCUUAGCUUUAAAGAAGGACGUCUUUAAAAUAAAAUAUAACGUCUACCGGU